GAAAAGACAACUGUGUAACCGAAACGAGAAAAGAGAGUAAGGAAAUCCAACACGUGAAAUUCGCACACCUCUGGCACGUUGUCCUAAUGGAUGAGGCAGUACACCUGCCUGACAGAAAACGACGUUCAGAAACCAUCCAGAAGAGACACAUCAGUCUGCAUUCCAACACAGACGAGGGUGGGCGGAGCCAUUUUUCAGACGCGACGGCCUCCACCGAAGCGGGGCGGAGGGUGCGGGAGGCGGGGCCCGAGACCCAGCAACCAGGCCCACCCGCGGCGGCUCCAGGAGAGCCUCUCAGCGGCGCAGCGCCGGAAACACAGCUUCAGUUUAGCCUACGUGGGAAAGUUUUGUUCCUCGGCGCACGGAAUUUGGACACCAAGGGCCUUGGGUUUACAUCCUUACAGCUCGUGAGCCAAGGGUUAAAAACAAACAAACGAGACCCGCAGUGUAUUCGCAAAGCAUUAGGAGGUUUGGUGGGAACCCUUCUAACGGGGGUCGGACUGACGACCUCCGCUGAAGCCCCCGCUUCGCCAGGCGCCUCCACCGGGCUGCCCUCCCGACGAAGCGCGCAGGCUCGAAAAAGCGAGCGCGGCUCUCCUCAGGCCUUUAAAGCGGACUAUGAAUUUCCGAGAACCAUGGAGGACAGAGAAACAGAUCAAACGACAACAUCAGUAAGGCCUGAGCAGAAUGCGAGGGCUCGGGCGUCCCACAGGGCAGAGAUCCCGUUUCCUCAGUAAAUCGCCGGCCCGAGGAGAGGCGGGGGCGGGGCGGCCGAGGAUCCUGGAGUCGCAGGGGCGGAGCCGCGGCGCGCAGUGUGCACGGUCCCGCCUGGACGCUCCGCACGCGCCGACGAUGCAGACAUCCCGAAACUCUCACGGCAGUGCGCACGGAGAGUAUUAGGGGAUAUUAGGGAGCUGCCUUAACUAUUCGAGGCGUGAUAAUGGCUGGGGGACUGCUUUUUUUU
rnacentral:lncRNA from 1 species